CCAUCCUGGCCAGGGGCUGGGAGUGUAAGCACAUCCCUUCUCCCCACGAUGCCUCUUCCUCAUUCUUGGGGGCAGCAGUCGAGGCUCCAAGCUCCUCCCUCCAACCUUUGUUACUGAGGCCACUCGGGUCAUCUCUAGAGCUUAUCCCCCCAAAGUUGUGACCAGGCUUCCCCCAGAUUGCCGCUCUACAUCCAGACCCCAAAAAGGAGGGUAACCAUCCACGCGACCCUCUUCUCCACCCCUCCCCCCCCACCAACAGCCCACCUCCCGGUGGACCCACCUCCAGCCUCGAACACGAUAAGCAGCGUAUAACGCUCUGGUUUGCUCUCUGUGUGGAACGCUCACUGCUUUUGCUUGGGUGCCUUACUCAUCCUCUAAGCUUUGGCUCUGGCACCACCCCCUCCAGGAAGCCUCUCUUGACAAGCCCCAUAUGGCUCAGGUGCCUGCUGGGCCUCCACAGACCGCGUGCUUCUCCCCAUCACAACCUCGUCAACCUUUAUCAAUGUUGUCUUGCUGCAUUUCUGUUUCUACUGGACUGAGCUUCUUGAGGAUGGCUCCCAGCACAGAGGAGGUGCUUAGGGGUAAACGCUUGUGGAGAGAACGGUUGGUGGACAGAAGGAUGGAGGGGUGGAGGGACAUAUGGGUGGAUGGAUGAUGGUGGAUGGAUGGGUGGACAGAGGGAUGCAUAGAUGAAUGCAUGGCCGUAUGGAUAAAUGGAUGGAAGGAUGCUUGAACCCGGCAGGGUUUGCUGGCAAGUUUUUGGGGGAACACGCUCUCUCCAACCUCAGGUUUACACUGUAAAGCAUUCUAUGCCUCCCUUACCUCUGCUCCUCUCUUCUUUUGAACGUCUGAGUCACGGUCUCUUGGGGGCUUCCUGGCUGCCCCCAGUCCUCCUCACCAUUUUCCCUGGAGGCCUCAGGGCUCUUAUGCCCACUCGACUCCUCUGUAGGCCCGGCAUUCUCAGGGUGGGCAAGCAGGUCUACCGCCAGACUCCUGCCACCCUUCCAGCUCUGAAAUCGGGCAACUUAUUGAGUCUGCGGAGACGUUACAGGUGGUCAGAAGCCUGGCCUGGUUAGUUUAUUUGAAGUAGGCUCUGUCCCUUCCUAACUGUAUGGCAUUGGACAAACUGCUUAACCGCUCUGAGCAUCAGUUUCCUCAUCUGUAGCAUGGAGUUAUCUUGAGGUUGUAUGAGAGAAGGGUGCAAGCACAGACCAUAGUGAUGUGUCAGAGAUGCUGUUCCCAUGGCAGACGGAGAGGGGGCUAUUCUAAAGUGGGGUCUUUCCUCUGGAAAGUUCCGCUUCUGCCGAUCUUCCCAGGGCUGCAGUUGAGUGGUCCCCAGAUGUGGGGCACGUCAGGCUCUCUGCCUCAGGGAUGGAGAGGACAAUUGCAUGCAAUGAUCAUUCGGAUUGUUCCAGCCCUUAGCUUUUAUUCUCUGAGGGUUAGCAGCUGUGGAGUGUGACCCAGGCUCAUUUCACAAAUGGCGGUAAUCAGGGCCCAGAGGCGCUGCAGCCCGGAGAGGAAGGCACUCCUCAAGGAGGGAAGCGAACCCACGUGGAUCAGUCCUUCAGAGAGCUGAAGUCAGGCCCGGACGCUGAGGGCCGGGAGAUGCUGAGGGACCCGGCAGGGCCUCCCACCCACAGCGUGCAUGGCGAUCUGUCAACGUGGCGACUCCCUACAGUAGCCCUGUUGGAAACAACAGAAUAGGCCGCCUAAGCGACUGGUGCCAGCCUCCCCCAGCGAAGGGAAGAUGGGGACUUCCAAAAACAGGGCAUCCUGAGUCACCCCUCCGAUAUCGCUGCAUUUCCAAGCAUCCGAAGGCUGCCUUUGAACCUUUGAGGGGAGCACAGGCAGAGCAGGAGGUGCAGGGGGACCCCAGGGGCCACCCGACCUGUGAUGAAGGCGUGGGAAGCGCCUGUCGGAGGAGGCUCGGGGACCUGCUCAUCUCAGGGUCGCCCAUCUGCUGCCAUCACCGCAGAACCCAGAGUGUGGCGCCGGGUCUCCACCUCCAUCCUCAUCCUCCAACUCUUCGUCACUCAGCCCCACGCAGAAUGACCGGGCCACUCCUGCUCUCCGUAGCCUUCAGUGGCUCCCUGUUGCCACCGUUCACUGUUGUGAAGCUCUAAGGCAUGGGCUUCAGGCGUCGGAUCCUGGCUCAGUGGAUGUCUUAGCUGAGAGCCCUGGACGAGUUUCUUAGCCUCUUUGUGCCUUGGUUUCCUCCGUAAACCGCGUAACUGCUGGCCAGCCAGGCGCAGUGCUGGGGCUCCGGCGGGGUUGCUGACAGCUGCUGCGGGGAGAGCGGUGGCUGGCCCGCCAUCUGUUGCUGCCUUGUCUCUGGGGUGGCACCUCCUUCCGGCUCCAGCACUUUAUUUAUGGCCGACCAGAGGGCCUUGCUAAAUCCUUUCUGGACUUGGCUCCAUCUGUCAGCCUCUCCUGACUGCGCUGAUCACGGCCUCAUCGCUCUCCUGUCCUCCCGCCGCCCCGCCUGCCUUUUCCAGCCUUUCCGGGGAGGGCGGGGCGCACGACGGGAAGGGAAGUCAUUUUUAUUAAUGGUUGUGAUGACAGUGACUUCUUCAGCACUCACUGCACAUCUUUUAUGCAUCAUCCGUUUCACCCCCCAACAGUUCUACAAGGAGGGCACAAGGGCACCCAUCCCCAUUUACAGUGCAGGAACAGAGAGGCUGAGAGGGCCACCUGAUGUCACACAGCGGGGAGUCAGCGGAGGGCUGGGAUGUGAACCCAGGCAGCCUGGCUCUGGAGUCUGUGUUCCUCAGCCUCCACCUUGCUGCUUGGCCACUGUGUUAUUACCAGAUAGGGGACAAGGCAAGGUCACAGGAAGGCAAAGUCCUCUGCCCAGUCAGUCAGUCAUUCAACAAGUGUUUCCCAGACCCUAAGCACUGGGGGCACAGAGAUGCUAACUGUCAAUAACGUUUUCUGGGCACCCAUUCAGUUAAUCUUCUCAAGUAAAAUGCAUACAAGUCAGGUGCUAUUAUUAACCCUGUUUUACAAAUAAGGAACAGGCACAGGGGCGUUAAGCGACUGCGUAAGGUCACACAGCGCAUAAGUGGGUAAAACAAGGUUUGUUUGGGCCCAGCUGUCCCGGCCUUAGAGAUGCUCAGAGCCUAGUUGGGGAGAUGAAAGGAGUCUGGCUGUCACCACACAGUGCUGGAGGAUCCCGAGGGAGCCCUGGGGAAUCGGAACCUGGGCAGGAGGCUGACAGGCAGACGUGUGGGGAGCGGCCCUCCCUGGAGGUGGGGUGGGGAGCUCUGUGUGCAGAGGCCUGAGGGUGCCCAGUCUCCACCAGCCCCCCACUCACCCGGCAGACAUGCCCCACUGCUGCUGUGCUGGCCUCUGGGGACACGGUGUGAACGGGCUUGGCUGUUGCCCCGGGGGGGCACUGAGUCCUCCAUCC
rnacentral:lncRNA from 1 species